rnacentral:rRNA from 1 species
UACGUAGGGUGCGAGCGUUGUCCGGAAUUACUGGGCGUAAAGAGCUUGUAGGUGGUUUGUCGCGUUGUUCGUGAAAUCUCACGGCUUAACUGUGAGCGUGCGGGCGAUACGGGCAGACUAGAGUACUGCAGGGGAGACUGGAAUUCCCGGUGUAGUGGUGAAAUGCGUAGAGAUCGGGAGGAACACCUGUGGCGGAAGGCGGCCGACUGGGCCGACCCUGACGCUGAG